CGAGGGAAGUACUGGGUGAAAUAAACCUUUCCUUUUUCCUUGGGAGAUGGUACUGAUAAAGAAGAUGAGAAUAUCUACUGAAGACGGUAUUUGCGGCAAGAAUUUAGGGAUCCUGUAGGAUCUGGGUUAAGGACAGGGAUUAAGUUUUCUGGGAAAAUUUGCAGAUUCUAGGAGAAGAAUAAUACUAAGAAGAAGGGAGAGAGGGCUAAGAGGCUUAAGAUAAAGAAAGCAAAAGAGAACGAUUGAUGAUUGAUGAUUGAUGAUUGAUGAACUGAAGGGAAAUGUG
rnacentral:misc_RNA from 1 species